UACGUAGGAUGCAAGCGUUGUCCGGAUUUACUGGGCGUAAAGCGCGCGCAGGCGGCCUACCAAGUAUUCAGUGAAAUCUCCCUGCUCAACGGGGAGGGUGCUGAGUAGACUGGUAAGCUAGAGGACGGUAGAGGGGGGUAGAAUUGCUGGUGUAGCGGUGAAAUGCGUAGAGAUCAGCAGGAAUACCCGUGGCGAAGGCGGCCCCCUGGGCCGUUUCUGACGCUGAGGCGCGAAGGCUAGGGGAGCGAACGGG
rnacentral:rRNA from 1 species